rnacentral:rRNA from 1 species
UACGGAGGGUGCGAGCGUUGUCCGGAAUCACUGGGCGUAAAGGGCGCGUAGGCGGCGCGAGUAGUCAACGGUGAAAGCCCGGGGCUCAACCCCGGGUCGGCCGUCGAUACUCUCGUGCUUGAGCACUGUAGAGGCAGGUGGAAUUCCGGGUGUAGCGGUGGAAUGCGUAGAGAUCCGGAAGAACACCGGUGGCGAAGGCGGCCUGCUGGGCAGUAGCUGACGCUGAGGCGCGACAGCGUGGGAGCAAACAGG